rnacentral:rRNA from 1 species
GACGAACGCUGGCGGCGUGCCUAAUACAUGCAAGUAGAACGCACAGUUUAUACCGUAGCUUGCUACACCAUAGACUGUGAGUUGCGAACGGGUGAGUAACGCGUAGGUAACCUGCCUGGUAGCGGGGGAUAACUAUUGGAAACGAUAGCUAAUACCGCAUAAUAUUAAUUAUUGCAUGAUAAUUAAUUGAAAGGUGCAAUUGCACCACUACCAGAUGGACCUGCGUUGUAUUAGCUAGUAGGUGAGGUAACGGCUCACCUAGGCGACGAUACAUAGCCGACCUGAGAGGGUGAUCGGCCACACUGGGACUGAGACACGGCACAGACUCCUACGGGAGGCAGCAGUAGGGAAUCUUCGGCAAUGGACGAAAGUCUGACCGAGCAACGCCGCGUGAGUGAAGAAGGUUUUCGGAUCGUAAAGCUCUGUUGUAAGAGAAGAACGGGUGUGAGAGUGGAAAGUUCACACUGUGACGGUAUCUUACCAGAAAGGGACGGCUAACUACGUG